GAGGCGCGCCGAGGGGGGCCAGCCGGGGAGGGAGGCGGAGACCCGGGCCCGCGGGCCUGCGGCGCCCCCGCCUCCGGCUCCUCGCUCCCAGGGCCGCCCCCACGCCGGGAGGGGGCGCGAGGGGGCGCCUGUGGCUCGGUUCGGACACCUUCUCCCGCCUCCUGCCGCGCACCCCGGCCUCGGGCUCCGCGCAGCGUGACAGCUCCUCGGGUUUGGAGAGAAGGGUGACGGAAGGGUCAGAACCCUGGCGAGAACUCCCCACCGCCCACACUCACCUGAGGGCGGGCGGACGGGCGGAAAUAGGAGCUUACAGUCAGCAUUUGACAAAUCUUCACUGAGCCUCUACUGUGUGCCAGGUACUGGCACAGAAGGUUGCUGAUUCCAGGACAAAUCAGACCUUAUUCCUGACCUCCAGCUGCUUAGUCUCAAGAAGAGGAAAGGAAAAUAAAGAGACAAAUAUAAUACAGUGUGAAAAGUACAACAGUGGUCCAAUUUCAGUUCAUGAACUGAGAGCCAGAAAAGGGAAGUAGCCUUGAGACAAUAUCUUAAGAUAAGACUUCCGGGUAACAGAAAUUAGCAAGAAUGAAAAACAACCCUAGGAGCUUCCCCCACGUCCGCCAUCAGAAUAGCUAAGCUUAAGACAAGUGACAACAUCAAGUGUUGGCUAGGAUGUGGAGCCCCUGGAACUCUCAUACACACCUGGUGGAGAUGCAAAAUG